GAAUUUAAUAUAAUAUUAUUAUUGAUGUAGGUUAGUUUAAUAAUUUUGUAUUUAAUUGGGAUAAUUUUUAAAUUUUAUUAAUUUUAAUAUGAGAUAAUAUAUAUUAGUGAUUAAAAGAGUGAUUAAUAAAUCUAAGUAGAAUUAAUUACCUUAGGGAUAACAGCGUAAUAUUUUUUGUGAGAUCUUAUCUAAAAAAAUGAUUGC
rnacentral:rRNA from 1 species